rnacentral:rRNA from 1 species
CUGCUGCCUUCCGUAGGAGUUUGGGCCGUGUCUCAGUCCCAAUGUGGCCGUUCACCCUCUCAGGCCGGCUACUGAUCGUCGCCUUGGUGGGCCGUUACCCCGCCAACCAGCUAAUCAGACGCGGGUCCAUCUUGCACCGCCGGAGUUUUUCACACUGAGCCAUGCGGCUCUGUGCGCUUAUGCGGUAUUAGCACCUAUUUCUAAGUGUUAUCCCCCGGUGCAAGGCAGGUUCCCCACGCGUUACUCACCCGUCCGCCA